GCUUUAAAUUGGUUUGACUAGACCAGUAAAUAAGAAAUCAAUUAAAAUAUAUACUUCUAGUAACGGGAAAUAGAAGCAUAAGGGGAGAAAAAUAGUAUGUAGCACACAAUACUUGAUAGUAGGCAUAGAGCCAAUUUUUGUAUCUCUAUGAGAACACGAAAAAUACAAGCUCCACAGAGAUGUGCGUCUAAAUUCAUAAUUAUGAUCUUAGCCAUGUUAAGAAGAAAAACAUUUCUCAAGCUAUGGGAUCCAGUUUACUUCUGGAUCUACCAAACAAGACACAUCUACUGAAUUCCACAUCUAAGGAUAAAAAUGCCAGACAGAAAUUGAAAUUAAAUGUAGGAUGAAGUGCAGAAAACAAAUAUCUGUAUUGAUAUGUAAUUGAGGCCAUGCAAUUGGCAUUGAAGAUACCUAUGUCACAAUACUGGAUUUCACUGUGAAGACAGAGUUGACUGUUUCAUGGUGACUGAGUUAAAUGGACAUCCUAGUUUUAAAGCAAAUAUUUUAUUAGUAACCUAUGUUUAUAUGAAUGCUACCAUUGCUGUAAGUGCAGCUAGUCUGUUAUUAGAGAAAAUGAGGCAUACAAAGGAUUAACACAUAUCUUAUUCUAUGUGUCACUGAUGUCAUCAGUAUCACAGAUUGGAAGUGCCACCAAAGAGAUAAAUUAUUCAGUCAUAUAGAGUAGGAAGUCCUGAAAAUAUCAGUGAGUUCUUGUUUCAAUGGUACUGACAUAGUAUAUUUUUCCUCAGUUUUUCCUCAGUUACUUUGUGGAAUAUGUAGAUGAGACUACCACAUACUGUAAAAAAUUUCAGAAGCACUCUCUGUGGCAUUACUGUCCCAAGUUGUUGGUUUUUUUUUUUUUUUUUUUUUUUAAUAAUCAGGAAUUCUUUCCUUUUUGUUUAUUUGUUUGUUUGUUUGUUAACUUUGACUUGAAAAUACUUGUCAACUAUGAAAUAAUAAGAAAUUGCUGAUAAUGAAGACAGUCUCCUCCUUUCCUAAAACACAACCAAGGAAUGCUACUUGGCUUGAGAGAAGAUACCGAAAACCCUGAGAGCCCUACUCCAAACCAGGAAGAAAUUUGAUUUGUUUUUCUGAAAGUGGCUAGGAAUAGAAAAGAAGUUAAGUAGGCUUCUUAGGUAGACAUAUGUUCAGGCAUACAAUCAAAAGAUUUUAAGUCCCCAUUUAAUAAUUUACAAGGCUUAUGCUUUCCUUGGAUACUUCCUUCACCAUACAAGGAAUACUUAUAGACACAGGCACCUCUAAAGUCUGAAGCUCGUGUACUUCUUUGUUUAAAAUAAAUCUUUGAUCUGAAUAUCAAAGAUAAGGAAAAAAUAGCAUAGGGGUAUUUUUUGCCUAAGUAAAUUUACAGAACACAGACAUAACUAUUUGUUAGAAAACAGCCCUGAAGGAGAGCUCCAAGAAAAAAAAAAUUGCUCUCAUGAACAGCAAAGUUGUAGUGAUAUCUUGCAUAUAGACCAUAUAGAAGGAUGUUUACCCUGUUGUGUUUUGCCCAAUGGAAACUGAAAGAAAAUGCUAUCAGACUAAAGAAGUACCUACAGAAAAAAACAUGGACAAUCACUUGAAAACAGGAUGAAAAACAGUUCAAAUAUUAAAACGUCAGAAUUACAUAAAAAGAAUAGCUUUAUUAAUGAACUUAUUUAUUGACUCUGGCUGCAACUUCUUACUGCAUUUUUUAGUUCACAUUAAGGGCACCAACCUACAAAAAGGAUGAAAGAAAUAAUACCAGAUUCACUUUUCUGAGCUCUAACUGUAGUAAAGAGAAAAUCUGUCCUAAAAAUUCUACUUACUACUUAUAACAUUGCCAGUGAUUUCUCCACAUAUAUUGUAGUACUAUCUUACUGGAGAAUUAAAAUUCAUACUCAGUUUUCAAUCACCUAAAAACUCAACAAAAUCUACGCAGAUGUCACUGCACAUCAAACUUCGGAGCGAUACCACCUCUUCAAAAAUUAUAGUUUAAAAUAAAACAAAGAAAAUACACCAUGAAUAAAGUUUUGUGUUUCUCAGCCUUUUUUCUCUGUUUUUCACUUUCAGAUUUAAUUUCACUAUUUUUAAUGCUGCUCUAACAUGCACAAACAUGGAACUUUUCCGAAGGUGUUGCAUACCACUAAGGUUUGCUAAAAUUCAGCACAUUUUCUCCUUCUUGCCCAUUUUCCAAAAAUUUGCCUUAUUUUUGCCCAAAUGCCAUAUUUCUGAUCCAGUUCUACUUUAACUCUGAACUCAUUUUCUGGCAAGGAAAAAAAUAGGAAAACAUAUGACACAAUUUCUGUAAGUGGACUCAAGGUCCUCCAGUAGUUGUAGUUUCCG
ensembl:lncRNA